ACGAACGCUGGCGGCGCGCCUAACACAUGCAAGUCGAGCGAGCGAGAGGAGGUUUACUUUCUCAAGCGAGUGGCGAACGGGUGAGUAACGCGUGAGGAACCUGCCUCAAAGAGGGGGACAACAGUUGGAAACGACUGCUAAUACCGCAUAAGCCCACGACCCGGCAUCGGGUAGAGGGAAAAGGAGCAAUCCGCUUUGAGAUGGCCUCGCGUCCGAUUAGCUAGUUGGUGAGGUAAUGGCCCACCAAGGCGACGAUCGGUAGCCGGACUGAGAGGUUGAACGGCCACAUUGGGACUGAGACACGGCCCAGACUCCUACGGGAGGCAGCAGUGGGGAAUAUUGCACAAUGGGGGAAACCCUGAUGCAGCGACGCCGCGUGGAGGAAGAAGGUCUUCGGAUUGUAAACUCCUGUUGUUGAGGAAGAUAAUGACGGUACUCAACAAGGAAGUGACGGCUAACUACGUG
rnacentral:rRNA from 1 species